GACGAACGCUGGCGGCGUGCUUCACACAUGCAAGUCGAACGAAGUGGCGAACGGGUUAGUAAUACAUGAGUAACCUGCCCUCCUUUUUGGGAUAAUCCUUGGGAACGGGGUCUAAUACCGAAUCACGGGGGAUGGGCUCGCGGCCUAUCGGCUUGUUGGUGGGGUGAUGUCCUACCAAGGCGGUGACGGGUCGCCGGCAUGAGAGGGUGACCGACGACAUGGGGACUGGGCGACGGCCCAGACUCCUACGGGAGGGAGCAGUGGGGGAGAGUGCACAAUGGGCGAAAGCCUGAUGCAGAGACGCCGCGUGGGGGAUGAAGGCUUUAGGGUUGUAAACCUCUGGCGCGAUCGAAUGGGUAGGUGGAGAAGAAGCGCCGGCUAACUACGUGCCAGCAGCCGCGGUAAUAC
rnacentral:rRNA from 1 species